UACGUAGGUGGCAAGCGUUGUCCGGAAUUAUUGGGCGUAAAGCGCGCGCAGGCGGUUUUUUAAGUCAGGGGUGAAAGCCCAGAGCUCAACUCUGGAAUUGCCUUUGAAACUAGAGAACUUGAGUACGGGAGAGGUGAGUGGAAUUCCGAGUGUAGAGGUGAAAUUCGUAGAUAUUCGGAAGAACACCAGUGGCGAAGGCGGCUCACUGGCCCGUUACCGACGCUCAGGCGCGACAGCGUGGGGAGCAAACAGG
rnacentral:rRNA from 1 species